rnacentral:rRNA from 1 species
UUAACAGGAUUAGAUACCCUGGUAGUCCGCGCCGUACAGGAUGAGUAGUAAGUGUUAGAGGGUUUCCGCCCUUUAGUGCUGAAGUUAACGCAUUAAGCGCUCCUCCUGGGGAGUACGGCCGCAAGGCUGAAACUCAAAGGAAUUGCCGGGGGCCCGCACAAGCGGUGGAGCAUGUGGUUUAAUUAGAAGCAACGGGAAGAGCCUUACCAGGUCUUGACAUCCUCUGAAAACCGUAGAGAUAGGGCUUCUCCUUCGGGAGCAGAGUGACAGGUGGUGCAUGGUUGUCGUCAGCUCGUGUCGUGAGAUGUUGGGUUAAGUCCCGCAACGAGCGCAACCCUUGAUCUUAGUUGCCAUCAUUAA